rnacentral:rRNA from 1 species
AGAGUUUGAUCCUGGCUCAGAGCGAACGCUGGCGGCGUGCUUAACACAUGCAAGUCGAACGCGCAGCAGUUUGUAGCAAUACAGAUUGUGGGCGCGUGGCGAACGGGUGCGUAACACGUGGAUAACCUUCCUUCAGGUGGGGAAUAACCCAGUGAAAAUUGGGCUAAUACCGCAUAACAUGACGAUGGCUCAUGCCGUUGUCUUCAAAGGCGCAAGUCGCCAGAAGAGGGAUCCGCGGCCGAUUAGCUAGUUGGCGAGGUAAUGGCUCACCAAGGCUUUGAUCGGUAGCCGGACUGAGAGGUUGGCCGGCCACACUGGAACUGAGACACGGUCCAGACUCCUACGGGAGGCAGCAGUGGGGAAUCUUGCACAAUGGACGAAAGUCUGAUGCAGCAACGCCGCGUGGGGGAUGAAGCUUUUCGGAGUGUAAA